rnacentral:lncRNA from 1 species
GCAGUUCUUUUUUUUUUGAUUCCAUGUUUGUGUUUCAACAAUUUGUUUUAUCUCACUCAGUUUUGAUAAAAAGGAAAUUUAGGUAUCAACAGAAAUACAGAUACAAUACAAAGAAAUACAAAUACAAAUACAGAAAAUUGAUACAAUAUUCUUUUUCUUAGGUCUUGUUUCUCUAAAAUGCACUUAUGACGCAGACGAACAAGCGGAUUCUUAUUUAUUUUACUCUUACGAGUUCAUAUUUUCAAUCAUACACUAUUCUGCAAAUAUUGUAUUCGAUUUUUCCAUACAAAUCGACGUCGUCUUUAAGCAAGCUUUCAUUAUCGUUCGCUUCUAGGUAUAUUGAAUUGUGGUGACUCGAUGUCAAGUAAGUGUCUGCACGAUUCAUAGAAAUGUUAAAAAGUGACUUACAAAUAUAUCCUUAUUCUUGUUACUACACUUUGCAUUUUUAAUGUAAAUAUUUCCAAAUUUUAGAAUGAUUUCACAUGAUUUCAAAUUUUAGAUAUGAUUUCACAAACGAUAACAACCAGAAUACUAUGAUUUCACAAACGAUAACAACCAAUAUCAAUGCACAACAUAAAUAUAAUGAAUACUAAGUAGCAUAAUCAGUCAUUCAGAGUUAUGUUUCUAAAUGUAAAGAUUUCCUCAAUGAUUUGAACCUUCCUUAAAAGAUAUCAGAUUAUUACAAUUAUAUGUAUAAAUACUCUGAUCUUAUUAAAAAUUAAAAAUAUGAUUUAAACCUUAUUUCAGUUCUUGUUUUUCCAUAUAAAAUAAUUCCAAGAUGUGGAAAACAUGAUACACAGAAUCAUAAUGAAAUCUAAAUGUCAAUGACAAGAGAAUAGAAAUAAAAUUAGAGUGUAGAGAAAAUAAUUACGAAACAUGCGUAUGAGUGCAAAUGAUGAAUAAAAAAGAAACUGGCGUUUCGUACGAAGGUCUGAGAAUUUUUAGAUGGUAGAACAUUUCUUUCUUUGUAUUGCACAUAUUUCUCCGCUAUAUUUAGCGAAUAGUUUCGCUACUCCGGAUUAAUGCAAUGGCGUCGAUCGACGAAAUCGUAAUCAGAGUUUCAUGUCAUCCCUGCUGGAUUCGAUUCACAUCAUCUUCGUUGGUUAAACGGCAGCUAGUUAAUAACAAUUUCGUUGCAUGUGUGGGAAAACAAUUGAUGCGAUUAUUGCGUGUAGUAUAUCACAUAUGUAAUACUUUGUUAAUGCAGGAAGUAGAGGUCGUUCCCCAACGAAGUAUAAAACAUAUCUCGUGACCACUGUGUAAGAAAGCCAUGGAAACAGCGAGUAGGCAGUUACUAAACGAGGAGAAAGGGUGGAUUAAAUAAUUGGCAGGCCACGAACGACACGCUUCGGCUCAUCAGUCGUAAAUUGAUCCAGAUAUCUCGAAUUUUGUCAUCUUCCUACACGAAUCGGCUCAAUUACAUACUUGGAACACGAUGAUUAAUUAGGACCGUGACUGCUGGAAUUUCUGAUAACAUCAUUAUUAAGAAUGUAACGUGAAACUGUUCCACAUUCUGUUUCCCUAAAUCGACGUAAAGAAUAAUUUUCUUCACAAAGAUAAUUCAUCAAUUUUCUCGCGAAUAUUUCGUACAUAUAUAAUUGUAAUAUUUGAGUCGCAAAGAUAAGAUCGAUAGAAAGAUAUUAAUUUAUGAGAACGGAAUUUGGAUGACGAUGGUGGAACGAAAUGCACCGGUGAUGACACUUACAAGAUAUGAUAUGAUACACAGAUGUUGCGAACAUGUUCUAGAGAUUCUUAAGAAAUUCUCUUAUCGGAAGUAUGAACAAAGCGUCUUGAUAUUCCAUGACAUUAACGUAUCACAUCUUAAUUCGUGUCUAAUUACAAUGAAACGUCGGUUAAUUCAGGUAAUUCAGAUUCUAAGAAUACCAGUUAUUUUCAUCAACUAUUAAUAUAUUAAUAAUUAUAGGAACUUUAAGGACGACAUUGUUAUCAUUAUUAUUAUUUCUCUACAAAUUCGAUGACUAAAGGAAGAUAAACAUUAUAUAUCUUUUUUUAAAAUUAUUAAUUUUUAUAAUGAUAAUUCAGUUCAUUUUAAAUUCACUCCAUCUCAAGAUCUUCAGGAUCAUUACCAAUAUUGAUUUCUUCGAAACCAAAAGACAGUUUACAUGUCAGCCGUUAUAAUCUACUUCCUGUGUUAUUAACACGCUGCUCGAUUACUGAUAACGAUAACCUGAGGAGGCUGUUCUUGGAGCCGGCAAGUAUCAAAUUCAAUGAUUCCGGGUCGUCAAAUAAAGUCAGAAUUGGAGAUAUCUGGUUGUAAUAAUAAUGUGGAGCCCGUUGACGAUAAAAUUCCACACUGGAGGAUUUUUUCGUGGAAAGUCACAUGGGAAACCAUCCCAGUCCUUGACCAUUCAAACGUUCCUUCGAGAUAAACAAUAUUGCAGAAUACGUUUAUAUAACAUAUUGUAAUAUACACGAUCGAAUUACUGUUCGGAAGCAUAUUGAUUGUAAGCUUCGAGUUUGAUCGAUUGUUUUUAAUACGGUUGAGAGUCCUGUGUUACACAUGCAUAUAAUCGCUAACUAUUUGAUAAGACUUCGAGCAUUUUCUUUGACAAUGUUUAAGGUAAUAAUUAAUGACUUUAAAAUAUGCGUAAUACGAUAAACAAUAGUAAGAAAGGCCUUUUUUAAAUUCUAUUAUACUUCUAAGGAAGUUUGUUUAUUGUAGUAUCUUUCUGUACUCCAUUGUUUAAUGCAGUAGAAAUUUUAAAUAUUUUUUUAGAAAUACAUAUUUGUAAUUUACGUGUAAUAAUACCGCAGGACAUUCAAUUAUCAUUCAAACAGCUUAUGAUUAGAUGUAAUAGUUAUAUAUUGAUAAGUCUGUGAGUGAUCGUUAAAAAUAAAAGAAAUAAUGAUGGAUAAUAAUGAUCAAUUUAACAUUGAAACAUUGGAGAUGGAAACUACGAUUCACUGAUCUACGCCACUGACAAUGAGAUCCAGAGGCGCUGCCGCGAUAAACUCGUACGCUUUCUG